rnacentral:rRNA from 1 species
CCUACGGGUGGCAGCAGUAAGGAAUAUUUGUCAAUGGACGAGAGUCUGCACCAGCCAAGUAGCGUGAAGUCUGACUGCCCUCUGGGUUGUAAACUUCUUUUAUAUGGGAAUAAAAUGUUACACGUGUGGGAUUUUGUAUGUACCCUAUGAAUAAGGAUCGGCUAACUCCGUGCCAGCAGACGCGGUAAUACGGCGGAUCCGAGCGUUAUCCGGAUUUAUUGGGUUUAAUGGUCGCGUAGGUGGAUUGUUAAGUCAGUUGUGAAAGUUUGCGGCUCAACCGUAAAAUUGCAGUUGAAACUGGCAGUCUUGAGUACAGUAGAGGUGGGCGGAAUUCGUGGUGUAGCGGUGAAAUGCUUAGAUAUCACGAAGAACUCCGAUUGCGAAGGCAGCUCACUGGACUGCAACUGACACUGAGGCUCGAAAGUGUGGGUAUCAAACAGGAUUAGAUACCCUGGUAGUC